rnacentral:rRNA from 1 species
UCUGAAUCUGCGAACGGCUCCGCAAACCAGUUGUAAACCAUAGCAAGCAUGCCCCGUGGUCGGCCGAAAGGUUGGUCCGGGGCUAUAAGGAUAACCCUGGUAAUUCUGAGGCUAAUACAUGAACGUAACCCCCGGCUGAAGGGCAACUGGAUGCUGGGGACCGUGCGAGUAGGGCGCAAAGUUUAUUGGGAAUAGUCGCACAGUACGACCGCCAUACCAAACAGUAUCCGCUACGCCUCCUCACGGGGGCCGGUGGUGUCUGGGCGGCUCUUGCAAGGUGCUUCUGACCUAUCAACUAGAUGGCAGCGUAAAGGACAUGCUAUGGU